UACGAAGGGGGCUAGCGUUGCUCGGAAUUACUGGGCGUAAAGCGUGCGUAGGCGGCUUUCUAAGUCGGGGGUGAAAUCCUGGAGCUCAACUCCAGAACUGCCUUCGAUACUGGAGAGCUUGAGUCCGGGAGAGGUGAGUGGAACUGCGAGUGUAGAGGUGAAAUUCGUAGAUAUUCGCAAGAACACCAGUGGCGAAGGCGGCGUACUGGACCGACACUGACGCUGAGGAGCGAAAGCCAGGGGAGCAAACGGG
rnacentral:rRNA from 1 species